UGGUGACUAUAGCAAGGAGGUCACACCUGUUCCCCAUGCCGAACACAGAAGUUAAGCUCCUUAGCGUCGAUGGUAGUCGAACUUACGUUCCGCUAGAGUAGAACGUUGCCAGGCA
rnacentral:rRNA from 1 species